rnacentral:lncRNA from 1 species
GUGCAUCUCCUGCUGUCCACCCAAGGGCUCUGCUGGCUCAUCCGGGCUGUCCGAGUGCGCGUCAUCCAUGCCGAAGUCGCUCCAGUGAGGGAGGGUCUCCAGGCAGCUCAGCCCCUGUGUGGCCCCCAGGCUGGCACAGCUGCCAUGCACACCUCCUCCCGGCAGCAGCGUAGGGCGGCUCUCCUCCUCCUGCACCCAGCCACAGUUGGACAUGGCAUAGUGCAGGAUGGCUUCUGUCACUGUCUGCGAGCCUUGGCCUUGCACGCAUGCCUCUAUCUCAGGCACGGAGAGCUGGCUCUGCAGGAAGAGGUGCAGCCGGCUGUCGGAGAGGAGGACAACGUUCUGCACAACCUUUUCCAGGAACUGCUGCAGCCCCUGUCUCCUUUUCUCAAUGAAUUCAUCCGUGCUCCCCACAAAGAAGGUGGAUUUCCC